AGCGAACGUUAGCGGCGGGCCUAACACAUGCAAGUCGAACGCGAAAGGUCUUCGGACUGAGUAGAGUGGCGCACGGGGUGAGUAACACGUAGGUAAUCUACCCUUUGGCGGGGGAUAACGUUCCGGAAAGGAGCGCUAAAUACCGCAUAAGACCACGUGGUCUCCGGACCGAGUGGGAAAAGGUGGCCUCGUUCUUGAAAGCUACCACCGAAGGAUGAGCCUGCGUCCCAUCAGCUAGUUGGUAAGGUAAUGGCUUACCAAGGCGAAGACGGGUAGCUGGUUUGAGAGAAUGAUCAGCCACACUGGCACUGGAACACGGGCCAGACUCCUACGGGAGGCAGCAGUGAGGAAUAUUGGGCAAUGGGCGAAAGCCUGACCCAGCCACGCCGCGUGAGUGAUGAAGGCCCUAC
rnacentral:rRNA from 1 species